rnacentral:rRNA from 1 species
UGGGGGAUAUUGCACAAUGGGCGAAAGCCUGAUGCAGCGACGCCGCGUGGGGGAUGAAGGCCUUCGGGUUGUAAACUUCUUUUGCUCUGAACAAGGCAUGCCUUUGGGGUGUGUUGAGUGUAGGGGUUGAUUAGCGCCGGCUAACUACGUGCCAGCAGCCGCGGUAAUACGUAGGGCGCGAGCGUUGUCCGGAAUUAUUGGGCGUAAAGGGCUUGUAGGUGGCUGGUGGCGUCUGUCGUGAAAGCUCAUGGCUUAACUGUGGGUUUGCGGUGGGUACGGGCUGGCUUGAGUGCAGUAGGGGAGGCUGGAAUUCCUGGUGUAGCGGUGGAAUGCGCAGAUAUCAGGAGGAAUACCGGUGGCGAAGGCGGGUCUCUGGGCUGUUACUGACGCUGAGGAGCGAAAGCGUGGGGAGCGAACAGG